rnacentral:tRNA from 1 species
UCCCUGAUAGCUCAGUAGGUAAAGAACCUGCCUGAAAUGCGGGAGAACUGGGUUCGAUCCCUGGGUAGGGAA